AAAUGUCAAGUUAAUGGGUGCAGCACACCAACAUGGCACAUAUAUACAUAUGUAACAAACCUGACGUUGUGCACAUGUACCCUAAAACUUAAAGUAUAAUAAUAAUAAAAAAUCUUUGGUUUUUGGUUUGUCCAUGAAUUGAAAACUCCGAAAAAUGACUGAGUUACAGAUGUGGUCUUAUCGUUUGGACCUUUCUAACAAUCUAAGCUGUAGAACAAAGAAACACAUUUUCUUGGGAGAUCUGAGUAAGUACAAUGAUCUCUGUCAUUGAAAGUGAUCAUGAAGAUGAUGGAUGGACACAUGUCCAAGAUGAUCUAGAAGGAAUUACCGUAUGGGCUGGGAGUUGAACUAGGUGACCAUUAGUUAUCUUCUUAAGCUCUAAAGUUCUGUGAUUUUAGAUUUUCAAUAAGUUGUGGUCUCUUUACUCAUGCACUGAGUAGACACUUCAAUAACACUAUUAUUAAAACUUUCAUAGCAUGCCCAAUAACAUCAUUACACAAAAAAUAAACUCAGAAAUUCCACUAAAUAAAUAUUAAUAAAGUAUACAUUUGGUAUUCUGUCAAACCUAGGGUGUGCAGUGUUUCCUGAACCCAAAAUUUACUUUGGAAUGCAAAUCUGCUAGAAAGAUAUAGAAUAACAUUCACAUAUUCCAAUUAUUUUACCCAUAGAAAAUUAACACAUGUGCCCUCUAUGGCUAUCGAAUAGUAUCCUUCUCAAUUGAUCUUCAGUUUCUGCCUUAAUUAUUCUUUUGUUUCUGUUUUGUUUUGUUUGCUUUAAAUAUCAGCAUUAUGGGUAAGUACUAUGAUGAAUUUUAUUAAACUCUUGCUUUUAAGUAUUUGGAAUCUGAUUGCUCUCUCGUACACCAGGGAACUCUUUUAUUUAUUUUUUCUUCCUCUUCAUUCAUUGCUACUAAGGAAAGAAUUAGACUAAAAUAGUUCUUCUUCAGAAGUGUACAAGAGCCUAUUUAAUUUUGUUUUUGUCCUAAAAGUUAGUAGGUAAUCAUAACAAAAUGAUAUAAACUUUCUGCAUGUUCUCAAUAUUAUUUUCCCCCAGUAAUGACUUUUCAAUAUUUGAAGUUUGGAAUCUGAGAUCCUAUAAGGCUACUUUUGUUUUUGUUAGGGAUAUUAAUAUUUUAAUAAAAUAUCUUGUAUAUAGUAUAAACAUCUGUUGAAAUCCCAUGAAAAGUGGAGCUAAUUUUCUCCUUAAUAUGGUAAGAACAAUUUCUUGGAUGGAUGAUCGAUGGAAUCUUUCACCCUUCUUUGGCUAGCUCCUUGUCUCUGUGACACCUAUGGCCUCUCAAUUUCUUUCUUGGUACAGCUGUUUAGGUCUGCGAGGGUAAGUUACCAGGAAACUUCACCAGGUGAUGUUCUGUAGGUUGACCAGAGCAGUUCGCCAAAGGCUUUUCUUGGCUUGAACCAGGUUGAGACUCCAACGACUCAAGCAGAAUGUCUAGAAUUUAGUCUUCUAAACCUGCAAUCAAUGUAUUUUUUUAAUUUUCCGAAGUAAUAUAAUUACGCUAAAAGCUCUCAAAGACUUACUGCUUAGACUCCAUGAAUGAAGCAUCAUUUGAAAAGCUACAAUAAAGAAAAUAAAGAGAUCAUAAGUAUCAUGACAAAAGAAUGAAACACUGAUUUUUUUUUUUUUUUUUUGAUACAGGGUCUCACUGUGUCACCCAGGCUGGAGUCCAUCAAAGCUCACUGCAGCCUUAACCUUCUGUGCUCAAGGGAUCCUCCCACUUAAGCCUCCUGAGUAGCUGGAACUACAGGCAUAUGCCACCGAGCCUGGCUAAUCUUUGAUUUUUUUGUACAGAUUGUGUCUCCUUAUGUUGCUCAGGCUGGACUCAAACUUCUGGUCUCAAGCGAUCUUUCCAUCUUAGCUUCCCAAAUUGUUGGAAUUAUGGACAUGAGCCAGUGUGCUUGGCCUGAUUUUUUUUUUUUUUUAAUGAGAAAAACGUUCCUUAAGAAAAGUUUCAUUGUAGUAAGUAAUCAGGAUGAAUAGCAUAUAUUAGCUCCGAAAAACUUUGGAAGCCUUCUUACUUCACUGAAAGUGGGGUUUAUCAACUCAGCUGCCAACGGCUUUCCUCCCAUUUAGCCUUUGUGUGAAAAACACAAUUAAUACUUUCUUGAGUAGUACAAGCUGAGCCGAGAAACCAUCUUUCAGAGGUGUAAAUUCUUGCCUUGGGUGGAAGGCUGGAUGUUAUUAACUUUCACAAUUUCUUUCAACACUUGAUUUUCCUCAAUCAUGGUAAAGACAUAUUAUUUAUUUUUCUUUUUAGUUGGGAAAGUUGAUUCACGUGACUUUUGCAUUUUGUAGAAUUUUUAAGAGGUAAGAUGAAAAUUAAACAUUUGUGCGUGUUAAGGAUCCAUGUUUCUCUGUCAGAUGUCUGGUAAUUUGCUUGACGAUUUUUGCAAAGAUAAUUUAGAAAUUAAGGAAACCAUUCUCUACGUUUUUCUUUACAUUAAAAGAAAAAAGUCUCCAAUAAAAAAUUUCUCUAUCCACAUUACAGGUUAAUUUACAAUUUCAGCUGCUGGUGGCUGGCUUGAGGCCUCAAUGUUAAAAAUGAGAAUGAGGCUAAUUCUAGUGAAUAGAGGUCCACACAGACAAUUGCUAUCUUUGUUAGAUGCUCCAGUACCAAGCCUAAGAAUAGGAAAAAAACUAAAAACACCCUGGAAAUGUAACAGAAUCAUCUUUUGCUGCCAUCUUUCUCUUCAGUAUAAGCUGAGCAUGUGUUUGAUGCAUAGCGGUGUGGGAACUAUAUACUUUCUUCUUACUUUCCUUCAGUAAAGGAGCUUAGCUCCAUUAAGCAUUGUUCAAGAUAGUGUAUUUAAAAUUAACAUAAAAGGUAAAAGAUUUUAAUGCCUUUUAAUAUAAGGAAAAUUGAUUUUAUUAAAAUGCUUUAAGAUACUACAAUACAAUUACUUAUUUAUCACUCUAACUCUGUAUUGUGAGUGUAGCUUCCUUUCCAAGUAUACUGAUUUUUUUAUGGGUUUUGGAAGUAGGAAACGAACCAAAGUAGUCUAUCAAAAUUCUCAUUCACCGUCUUUCUUAAGCAGAACCAAGUCCAUCAUGCCGACGGAGACUAUUUCAAGAGUAGAAAUUCUUUUUAUUCAAAGGGGUAGGAUUAAACAAUGAAAGACAGGUUAUAUUUUUCUAACCUGUGUUUUGCUGAGCUGAAGCAUGAAAUAUCAAAUAUUUAUAAUAAAGUAUUCAUAGUUAAGUACACUGAAUCAUUAAAAUGUUGGAAAUAUUGAAAUGGAUGAUCGAUCUUAUUGGAGUCCUUGUGUGAUACAGGAACUUCUGUAUUUACUGUUAACAAGAAAAACUCAAAAGGUUACAUUCCUUUUUAGAUUCAGAGCUCAAAUAGAAUUGAUUUAAAAUUUAAAGCACUUCUAAUAAGACAUUUCAGCAUUGCAUAAGUUAAACAUGGAGAAAAAAAUAAAUACAUUUAUGUUUUUCUAUUAAUACUUACUCUAAGUUGUUUACUAGAACUCAGAAUAAAUGUCUCUAAAGAUUUAGUUUUAAUUUUUGGCUGCUUAGCUCUUACAAUGACAUUUAUUCUGAGUACCAUAUUAAAUGUGUAGUAAUAAUUAUAUGUAUUUUUCCUAGCUUGUGAUAUGAGGUAUCUUGCAUUUUGGCAUAUUAUUCUGAUUUUAGAGACAGGGUCUUGCUCUGCUGCCCAGGCUGGAAUGCAGUGAUGUGAUCACAGCUCACUGCAGUCCUGUACUCUUAGGCUUAAGUGAUUCUCCUGCCUCAGCCUCUGAAGUAUCUAGGAUUACAGGCAUGUGGCACUAUAUCUGGCUAAUUUAUUUUUUAAUUUUUUUGUAGAGACGAGGACUUGCUAUGUUGCCAGUUUGGUCUUGAACUCUUGGUCUCAAGUGAUUCUCCUGCCUUGGGUUCCCAAAGCGUUGGGACGGCAGAUGUCAGCCACCGCGCCUGGCCUUAUUCUUAUAAACUCAAAAUUAUCUGAAUUCAAGCAAGGAUCAAAGGUUGCAGCAAAAUGUCACAUUUAAGAAGCUGAGUAAACACAGAAUGAGAAGCCCUAAAGCGAGGUGCUGUGUUAAUAGACAGGCUAAUCACUUCCUGAAUACAUAAGAACUAGCUCUUUGUAGAACUAGCAGAGAGACUGCUAACAGGUUUUUGUUUUAGAUUGAUGGAUUGAUUUUCCAGGAACAGGCCUGAUGAGAGCCCUCAUAAAAAUUGCCUCUCAUAGCCUAUUGCAAAUAAGUAUAAUCUUACAUAAAUCAAAGCACUAGUACGUAAGCAUCCCAAGGACAGAGAUUUUGUCUGUGUUGGUUCACAGCUAUAUCCAGAGUUCAGGCAAGUGCCUGGCAAAUAGUGGAGGCUCAGUAAGUAUCUCUUGAGUGAACUGAAUGAAUGAAAACCUUGACUUUUCCUUUAAAUAGGAUUAACAUUAAAAGCAAAACAAAACAGCAUGCUUUCCUACUUCCUUGAUGGAUUUCUGACCCUAAGAAUGCUGUUAGGCAAGUAAGAAGGGCUGGAGAGCAGCAUGUGAAGGGCACAGUGCAAAUGUGUACAUUUAGCAAGUAUUUCAGAAAUCUCGGAUUUGGUGAAGUAUUUGCUGGAGUGUGUGGUGUGAUGUCACACUUAACUCAGAUACAUGUGUCACAUUUGAAUUACAAAUAUUCUGUCCAGCAUCUCCCUAACUUGAGUGACUAUGCUUAUACUUUUUUCUACACAGGGUUUUCAUAAAUCUUUGAUCCUUGACCAAGUGUCAUAGAGAACUUUUCUUAAGUGAAACUCUCUGCAAACAGUUAGCUUAUAUUUAAGUUUCUAUUCAGCUUUGAGUAUAGUAUUUUGGCUAAAAUAAUGUUUUGCAUGGUCCAUUUCACAGGUGAGGUUGAUUAUAUAGCAUUCAUUACUCUUAAUUUAGCUUACAACCUCAGAUAGUGGUUUAAAAUAUAUAACACUCAUAACUAUGUCUAAGUUAAUCAAAUUUAAAUUAUUUUCUACUCCUGUAGCAAACAUUUUUUGAAAACAGAAAAAAGUCCCUUUUUACAGCAUAGGCUCGCUGAUAAUUUGAAUAGAAAACCACUCAUUUCUAUACAUGAAAUUUUCCUGAUUGUCUUUGUAAUAAAAACUGAGAGGAUAUUCGUCAUCCCUGGCUGAGCUGCACUGAAUUCUACUCUUUUAUACAUGUAAUAAAACAGCAAACAACAUCAAAAUACAUUAUUAAUUAGGCAUGAAUUUCUUAAAAUGGUUUACAUCAUCUCAUUUAACUUCAGAGCUUGCAGACAUUAACAGUAAGUCACCACAAAGCUACCAUUGAUUUAUAAUGCACAUUACCACAUCAAGCCUGGCCCAAGGACUCUGGGCCCAGAAGGAAAAACAGCCAUGGCAGAAAUAUAAUGAAAACAUAUCUGUAUUCACAGAAAACAAUUAGGCUUAAUGUAAUUAGAGUGAACAUUCAGGUUCAUUUUAUUCAAAGGUAAUGUUUCU
rnacentral:lncRNA from 10 species